GAUGAAGAACGUAGCGAAAUGCGAUAAGUAGUGUGAAUUGCAGAAUUCAGUGAAUCAUCGAAUCUUUGAACGCACAUUGCGCCCCUUGGUAUUCCAUGGGGCAUGCCUGUUCGAGCGUCAUUUGUACCUUCAAGCUCUGCUUGGUGUUGGGUGUUUGUCUCGCCUCUGCGUGUAGACUCGCCUCAAAACAAUUGGCAGCCGGCGUAUUGAUUUCGGAGCGCAGUACAUCUCGCGCUUUGCACUCAUAACGACGACGUCCAAAAGUACAUUUUUACACUCUUGACCUCGGAUCAGGUAGGGAUACCCGCUGAACUUAAACAUAUCAAUAAGCGGAGGA
rnacentral:misc_RNA from 1 species